GAUGAACGCUGGCGGCGUGCCUAAUACAUGCAAGUCGAGCGAACAGACGAGGAGCAUGCUCCUAUGACGUUAGAGGCGGACGGGUGAGUAACACGUAGGUAACCUACCUAUAAGACUGGGAUAACUACGGGAAACCGGAGCUAAGGCCGGAUAAUAUUUCGAACCGCAUGGUUCGAUAGUGGAAGUUGGCUUUGCGAUCGCUGAUAGAUUGACCUGGGGCGUAUUAGCUGGUUGGUAAGGAAAAGGCUUACCAAGGCAAGGAUACGUAGCCGACCUGAGAGGGUGGUCGGCCACACUGUAACUGAGACACGGUCCAGACACCGACGGGAGGCAGCAGUCGGGAAUCUUCCGCAAUGGGCGAAAGCCUGACGGAGCAACGCCGCGUGAGUGAUGAAGGUCUUCGGAUCGUAAAACUCUGUUAUUAUGGAAGAACUAACGUUUAAGUAACUGUGCACGUCUUGACGGUACCUAGUCAGAAAGCCCCGGCUAACUACGUG
rnacentral:rRNA from 1 species